rnacentral:lncRNA from 1 species
AGAGUUGUAGGCAAGUAGUUGGACAAAAAGCAAGAAGCUGAUCGAUGUUGCUGGCUUUGGAUUCUUUGUGAACAAAUGAGACAAGCUGCCAGAGGGAUGCUAACACCGCCCACGUGCUGCAGCAGGACUUUGGAAGGGGAACCAGCACUGUAAUGAAGUGUUGGGUUGGCUCAAGUCUUGUCUGGACCACAAACCAUUUUUCAACCACUAGUGUGCCUUUAAAACCCAAACCAACUGUGAGAGUGGUUUUCUACUUUGAUUCUAGAUGGGAAAAUAUUUUGCUUUUUUGGUGGAUGACAGUGUCAGGUCCCAAAUGGAUUUGGUUUCAUCCUCCAGCACGCAUGCAUAUAACGUGAAACAUGCCCACACUCUGCAAGGGCCACAGCCACCCCACCAUUAUGUUCCAAGGCAAAUAUGCGUCCGCGGGUCCCCGGGAAAGUAAAGGAGUUUCACAUUGAGGAGCCGAGCCACACAGUCUAGCAGUUCUGAUGUCUCUCCAAGGCCCACAGAUCCUGGUCUACUAACUUAAGGCCCCUUUUGUCUAAAAUAGUGAUGUACAUUAAAUGCAAAGGGCAAAUGGAACCAUUGAAAAGUACUUUUUGCAUCCAAAACAGCCAACGCUUUGGUGCCUGCUAUGUGUCAGACACUGAUUCUUCUGUCAUCCUUAUUCUACUGAUGAGGCAACUGAGGCAGCUUCAGAGAGUUCGAGUAACCUGCGGAUCACACAACUAGGAAGUAAGAGAGCUGGAACUUGACGUUGGGCUGUUGACCUCCAGAAAUGGUGUUUUUUCCAGUACUCAGUGCUGCCUCUGACUCCAUUGUGAUGGUUGAUUUUAUGUGUCAACUUGACUGGGCCCAGGGGUACCCAGAUAUUUGGUCAAACAUUAUUCUGGGUGUUUCUGUGAGGGCGUUUUGGGUGAGAUUAACAUUUAAAUUGGUAGACUGAGUAAAGCAGAUGGCC